rnacentral:rRNA from 1 species
UACGGGGGGGGUAAGCGUUGUUCGGAAUUACUGGGCGUAAGGGGCGCGCAGGCGGCCUCCUAAGUCCGAUGUGAAAGCCCACGGCUCAACCGUGGAGGGUCAUUGGAAACUGGGGGACUUGAGUGCAGGAGAGAAGAGUGGAAUUCCACGUGUAGCGGUGAAAUGCGUAGAGAUGUGGAGGAACACCAGUGGCGAAGGCGACUCUUUGGCCUGUAACUGACGCUGAGGCGCGAAAGCGUGGGGAGCAAACAGG